rnacentral:rRNA from 1 species
GACGAACGCUGGCGGCGUGCUUAACACAUGCAAGUCGAACGGAAAGGCCCUGCUCUUGUGGGGUGCUCGAUUGGCGAACGGGUGAGUAACACGUGAGUAACCUGCCCUUGACUUUGGGAUAACUUCAGGAAACUGGGGCUAAUACCGGAUAGGAGCUCCUGCUGCAUGGUGGGGGUUGGAAAGUUUCGGCGGUUGGGGAUGGACUCGCGGCUUAUCAGCUUGUUGGGGGGGUAGUGGCUUACCAAGGCUUUGACGGGUAGCCGGCCUGAGAGGGUGACCGGCCACAAUGGGACUGAGGUACGGCCCAGACGCCUACGGGAGGCAGCAGUGGGGAAUAUUGCACAAUGGGCGGAAGCCUGAUGCAGCAACGCCGCGUGCGGGAUGACGGCCUUCGGGUUGUAAACCGCUUUCGCAUGUGACGAAGCGUGAGUGACGGUAAUGGGUAAAGAAGCACCGGCUAACUACGUG